rnacentral:miRNA from 1 species
UUAACUUUUACUUUAAUAACAUAUAUAUGUAUGUGUGUGUGUGUGUGUGUGUGUGUGUGUGUGUGUAUACACACACAUACAUACAUACAUGCAUACAGC